CCUACGUGAGGCUGCAGUGAGGAAUAUUGGUCAAUGGUCGGAAGACUGAACCAGCCAUGCCGCGUGCAGGAUGACGGCCUUCUGGGUUGUAAACUGCUUUUGUAUGGGACGAAUAAGGGGUACGUGUACUCUGAUGACGGUACUAUCUGAAUAAGCAUCGGCUAACUCCGUGACAGCAGCCGCGGUAAUACGGAGGAUGCGAGCGUUAUCCGGAAUCAUUGGGGUUAAAGGGUCUGUAGGCGGGCUAUUAAGUCAGAGGUGAAAGCACUGAGCUCAACUGAGUAACUGCCUUUGAAACUGAUGGUCAUGAAUACUUACGAAGUAGCUGGAAUGUGUAGUGGAGCGGUGAAAUGCUUAGAUAUUACACAGAACACCGAUAGCGGAGGCAUGUUACUAGUAAGGUUAUUGACGCUGAGGGACGAAAGCGUGGGGAGCGAACAGGAUUAGAUACCCUAGUAGUC
rnacentral:rRNA from 1 species